GACAGAGGAUGCAAGCGUUAUCCGGAAUCACUGGGCGUAAAGCGUCUGUAGGUGGUUCAAUAAGUCAACUGUUAAAUCUUGAGGCUCAACUUCAAAAUCGCAGUCGAAACUAUUGGACUCGAGUAUAGUAGGGGUAAAGGGAAUUUCCAGCGGAGCGGUGAAAUGCGUAGAGAUUGGAAAGAACACCAACGGCGAAAGCACUCUGCUGGGCCGACACUGACACUGAGAGACGAAAGCUAGGGGAGCGAAUGGG
rnacentral:rRNA from 1 species